rnacentral:lncRNA from 1 species
AGUGGUGGGUUUUUGGCUGGCUUCUCGUUUGGGGCUAAAAGUCCCUUUGGAAUGGUGGUUGGUUCAUGUUGAUGGGGUGCUAUCCUACCUGAGCUUUUUCUAUUAUUUUCCUUUUUAUUUUUUUUCUUACUUUUGUUUUUAAUCUUCUUGACCUUGUAAGACCUUUUCUUGACCUUGUAAGACCCCUUUUUAUGUUUAUUUAUCUUAAUUUUUGUAUUGUCAUAAAUUCUAUAUCAAAAUUUUUUGAUAUAGAAUUUCAUGUUUAUUUUUUUCUGUUUUUGCCCAACUCAUAUUCUCCUUCCUUGUCUAUCCCUCCUGAGCUAUUUGAAUAAAAUUAUUAUGCUAAUUAUUCAGAAAAUCACCCAAUUGAAGAGUCGUUAGAAGCCUUUCAAAAUCUAUGCAAGCUAUGGAUCGGAGCCUUUGUUUUUAUGCAAGUUUACUUUUGUUUGGUUCAAGUAAAAUUUGGCAGGAGAAGAA